rnacentral:rRNA from 1 species
UACGAAGGGGGCUAGCGUUGCUCGGAAUCACUGGGCGUAAAGCGCACGUAGGCGGAUUGUUAAGUCAGGGGUGAAAUCCUGGAGCUCAACUCCAGAACUGCCUUUGAUACUGGCGAUCUCGAGUCCGGGAGAGGUGAGUGGAACUGCGAGUGUAGAGGUGAAAUUCGUAGAUAUUCGCAAGAACACCAGUGGCGAAGGCGGCUCACUGGCCCGGUACUGACGCUGAGGUGCGAAAGCGUGGGGAGCAAACAGGGAUAGAUACCCGA